rnacentral:rRNA from 1 species
GACGAACGCUGGCGGCGUGCUUAACACAUGCAAGUCGAACGGAAAGGCCCUGCUUUUGUGGGGUGCUCGAGUGGCGAACGGGUGAGUAACACGUGAGUAACCUGCCCUUGACUUUGGGAUAACUUCAGGAAACUGGGGCUAAUACCGGAUAGGAGCUCCUGCGGCAUGGUGGGGGUUGGAAAGUUUCGGCGGUUGGGGAUGUACUCGCGGCUUAUCAGCUUGUUGGUGGGGUAGUGGCUUACCAAGGCUUUGACGGGUAGACGGCCUGAGAGGGUGACCGGAAUCAUUGGGACUGAGAUACGAGCCGGAAUCCUACGGGCGGCAACAGUGGGGAAUAUUGCACAAUGGGCGGGAGCAUGAUGCAGGAACGCCGCGUGCAGGAUAAAGGCCUUCGGGUUGUAAACCGAUUUCACCUGUGACGAAGCGUGAGUGGCGGUAAUGGGUAGAGAAGCACCGGCUAACUACGUG